AGACAUCCUACAAACUAUCUGCAUUGUGUUAUUGACUCUACUUGAAUCAACAAAGAUGCAGCUACAGUGAUUCCUUCCCCAUCCAUGGAAACAGCUUGAUAGUUCUUAGGUGUCUGAAUAACUUUUCUACCCUCAAAGACUGGAGCACAAUAGAAAUAUACUAGAACUCAUUUGCUGAAAACCUGAACCUAAACUGGUAUAUGAAUAAUGAUAGAUACGCUUUACUCAAGGCACUUGAAAGAGUUAGUGUGCAAGAGUACCCCCAAGUGAACAAAGGAGCCAAAAAAGACAAGUCCAGAAAAUAGGUGUUUGAAAGUCCUAAACUUGAUACACCAGUAUCAAGAAACUGGAUACAUCAGUAUCAAGAAGUAAUUUUCACCUACUGAAUUACUCAAGGAUGAAAGAACAAUAGCAUCUACUCUGAGCCAGGAAGUGAUACCAAGAGCUGUUGGGCG